AGGUUACGUCAAGACUCAAGGCUAUUAACCUUAAGCUUUUCUUCUCUACUGAAAGUGCUUUACAACCCGCAGGCCUUCUUCACACACGCGGCAUUGCUGGAUCAGGCUUGCGCCCAUUGUCCAAUAUUCCCCA
rnacentral:rRNA from 1 species